AGCACGGUGGCGCAGUGGAAGCGCGCCGGGCUCAUAACCCGGAGGUCAUCCGAUCGAAACGGAUCCGUGCUA